UUGUAAUGCUCCUCCCAGGCUAAACAUUUGCUAUACUAAGACCAUGCACGUGUCCCCAGACCUAGUUCUUUGUCUAGGUCUGGUCUGAUAAAUGCUGGUGAUCAAU
ensembl:snoRNA SNORA72 Small nucleolar RNA SNORA72